rnacentral:piRNA from 1 species
UUCUUCCACUCAUGGCAUUUU